UCACGUAAAUGUCAAAAUUUUCUCCAUCCCAGUUUUUCCAACACAACUUGGUGUCACACGGAAUCGUUCAGAUCGCUCUUCUAAAGUACACUUUCCAAAUUUCACAACCAUGAACGCCCCACGUCUGGCCAACAUUGCCCGCACCGCGCUCGUCCCACGACGCGGCUUCGGAUCGACCACUCCCGGACUCCCGCAAGUCCGCGUUCCGCUGGGUGAAAAAUUUGCCCACGGACUGGUCAUCUUCUGCGGUGUGUUGACCUACCCGGUUUGGGUGCUGUCCCACAUGAAGGAAUACAAGGGCCAGGCCUAAGUCCGUGAGCUCGGGUUCCAGUCCUUUUAGAACGGUAGACGCUUUUGGAGGUUAUGGCCUUCGAAAGACGGCGGAGGAGAAAACACAAAUCGAUGCAGUGUUUGGGGCGAUUGGCAAGAGAAAAAACAACCUGGAAUGUCCUUUAAAGUGUUAACAUUUAACGUUUGAGGAUGUAAAGUGCGGCUAGAAAACGUUGGAAUAAAGUGGUGUACGAUUCAGAA